rnacentral:rRNA from 1 species
UGCAGUCGACGAAGCACUUUAUUUGAUUUCCUUCGGGACUGAUUAUUUUGUGACUGAGUGGCGGACGGGUGAGUAACGCGUGGGUAACCUGCCUUGUACAGGGGGAUAACAGUUGGAAACGGCUGCUAAUACCGCAUAAGCGCACGGCAUCGCAUGAUGCAGUGUGAAAAACUCCGGUGGUAUAAGAUGGACCCGCGUUGGAUUAGCUAGUUGGUGAGGUAACGGCCCACCAAGGCGACGAUCCAUAGCCGACCUGAGAGGGUGACCGGCCACAUUGGGACUGAGACACGGCCCAAACUCCUACGGGAGGCAGCAGUGGGGAAUAUUGCACAAUGGGCGAAAGCCUGAUGCAGCGACGCCGCGUGAGCGAAGAAGUAUUUCGGUAUGUAAAGCUCUAUCAGCAGGGAAGAUAAUGACGGUACCUGACUAAGAAGCACCGGCUAAAUACGUGCCAGCAGCCGCGGUAAUACGUAUGGUGCAAGCGUUAUCCGGAUUUACUGGGUGUAAAGGGAGCGCAGGCGGUGCGGCAAGUCUGAUGUGAAAGCCCGGGGCUCAACCCCGGUACUGCAUUGGAAACUGUCGUACUAGAGUGUCGGAGGGGUAAGCGGAAUUCCUAGUGUAGCGGUGAAAUGCGUAGAUAUUAGGAGGAACACCAGUGGCGAAGGCGGCUUACUGGACGAUAACUGACGCUGAGGCUCGAAAGCGUGGGGAGCAAACAGGAUUAGAUACCCUGGUAGUUCACG